rnacentral:rRNA from 1 species
GACGAACGCUGGCGGCGUGCUUAACACAUGCAAGUCGAACGAAGAGCGAUGGAAGCUUGCUCCUAUCAAUCUUAGUGGCGAACGGGUGAGUAACGCGUAAUCAACCUGCCCUUCAGAGGGGGACAACAGUUGGAAACGACUGCUAAUACCGCAUACGAUCUAAACUCGGCAUCGAGGAUAGAUGAAAGGUGGCCUCUACAUGUAAGCUAUCACUGAAGGAGGGGAUUGCGUCUGAUUAGCUAGUUGGAGGGGUAACGGCCCACCAAGGCGAUGAUCAGUAGCCGGUCUGAGAGGAUGAACGGCCACAUUGGGACUGAGACACGGCCCAGACUCCUACGGGAGGCAGCAGUGGGGAAUCUUCCGCAAUGGACGAAAGUCUGACGGAGCAACGCCGCGUGAGUGAUGACGGCCUUCGGGUUGUAAAGCUCUGUUAAUCGGGACGAAAGGCCUUCUUGCGAAUAGUGAGAAGGAUUGACGGUACCGGAAUAGAAAGCCACGGCUAACUACGUG